rnacentral:rRNA from 1 species
AUUGAACGCUGGCGGCAGGCUUAACACAUGCAAGUCGAGCGAGCGGCGGACGGGUGAGUAAUGUCUGGGAAACUGCCUGAUGGAGGGGGAUAACUACUGGAAACGGUAGCUAAUACCGCAUACCAUCAGAUGUUCCCAGAUGGGAUUAGCUAGUAGGUGGGGUAAUGGCGCACCUAGGCGACGAUCCCUAGCUGGUCUGAGAGGAUGACGAGCCACACUGGAACUGAGACACGGUCCAGACUCCUACGGGAGGAAGCAGAGGGGAAUAUUGGACAAUGGGCGAAAGCCUGAUGCAGCCAUGCCGGGUGGGUGAAGAAGGCCUUCGGGUUGUAAAGCACUUUCAGCGAGGAGGCGUUACUCGCAGAAGAAGCACCGGCUAACUCCGUGCCAGCAGCCGCGGUAAUUC